UCAAGCUACUAAGGGCACACGGUGGAUGCCUUGGCGCCGGGAGCCGAAGAAGGACGUGGCCAGCUGCGAUAAGCCUCGGUGAGCUGCAAGCAAGCGUUAUUAACCGGGGAUGUCCGAAUGGGGAAACCCGCCGCGAGUAAUGUUGCGGCACCCAUGCCUGAACACAUAGGGCAUGAGGGGGGAACCGGGGGAACUGAAACAUCUAAGUACCCCGAGGAAAAGAGACAGACAUGCAUUCCGUAAGUAGUGGCGAGCGAAAGCGGAGGAGCCCAAACCGCAUGCGUGCUAAAGCCUGCAGGCGUUGCGCAUGCGGGGUUGCAGGAGUUGCCGUGGAACGCUGCAGAGUUCCGUCCCACCUGUAGGAUCUAGUCGAACUGACUGGAAAGUCGGGCCGAAGAGGGUGAGAGCCCCGUAGACGAAAGGUUCGGCAGGGGGAUGGCAGCCACCUGAGUACCGCGGGACACGAGGAAUCCUGCGGGAAACUGGGAGGACCACCUCCCAAGGCUAAAUACUCCCCGGCGACCGAUAGUGAACUAGUACCGUGAGGGAAAGGUGAAAAGCACCCCGGGAGGGGAGUGAAAUAGUACCUGAAACCGUGAUGCCUACAAACAGUGGGAGGGCUAUGGCGUAGUCCAGCCUGACCGCGUACUUUUUGUAGAACGGACCGGCGAGUUACGGUAUGUGGCAAGGUUAAGCCGAAGAGGCGGAGCCGAAGCGAAAGCGAGUCUUAAUAGGGCGUAUAAGUCGCAUGCCGUAGACCCGAAACCGGGCGAGCUAUCCAUGGCCAGGGUGAAGCGGGAGUAAAGUCCCGUGGAGGCCCGAACCCGGUGGUGUUGAAAAACCAUGGGAUGAGCUGUGGAUAGGGGUGAAAAGCCAAUCGAGCUCGGAGAUAGCUGGUUCUCCCCGAAAUAGCUUUAGGGCUAGCCUCGGGAAUAUAGUCUUGCGGAGGUAGAGCACUGAUGGGGCUAGGGGCCCUGAAAGGUUACCGAACCCUUUCAAACUCCGAAUGCCGCAAGAUGUUGCCCGGGAGUCAGACUGCGGGGGCUAAGCUUCGCAGUCGAGAGGGAAAGAGCCCAGACCGCCAGCUAAGGUCCCAAAUUGGCAGCUAAGUGGCAAAGGAUGUGGAACUGCUUAGACAACCAGGAUGUUGGCUUAGAAGCAGCCAUACAUUUAAAGAGUGCGUAAUAGCUCACUGGUCGAGUGGGUCUGCGCCGAAAAUGUCCGGGGCUGAAGCUGCCAACCGAAGCUGCGGAUCACCCGUAGGGUGAUGGUAGGGGAGCGUUGCCUGCUGGCAGAAGCACGACCGAAAGGACGUGUGGACGGCAGGGAAGUGAGAAUGCCGGUAUGAGUAGCGAAAAGGCAGGUGAGAAUCCUGCCCGCCGAAAGCCUAAGGUUUCCUGAGGAAGGUUCGUCCUCUCAGGGUGAGCCGGGACCUAAGCCGAGGCCGAAAGGCGUAGGCGAUGGACAACGGGUUGAGAUUCCCGUGCCGCCUCGGUCACGAUUGAGCGAAGUGGGGACGCAGAAGGGUAGGCGCAGCAGGCUGAUGGAAUAGCCUGUCCAAGCGAGUAGGGUGCCGCGCAGGCAAAUCCGCGCGGCGGGAGCCUGAGACGCGCGUGGGUGCGGAUACGUCCGCUGAACUGGCCGACCCCAAGCUGCCAAGAAAAGCCGCUAGCGAGUGACCGGGCGCCCGUACCGCAAACCGACACAGGUAGGCGGGGAGAGAAUCCUAAGGCGCGCGAGAGAACCCUCGUUAAGGAACUCGGCAAACUGACCCCGUAACCUAGGGAGAAGGGGUGCCCCGGUAGGGUGAAGGGCGAGACGCCCGGAGCCUGAGGGGGCCGCAGAGAAACGGCCCGAGCGACUGUUUACCAAAAACACAGGUCUCUGCUAAGUCGAAAGACGAAGUAUAGGGGCUGACGCCUGCCCAGUGCCGGAAGGUUAAGGGGAGGGCUUAGCGCAAGCGAAGGUCCGAACCGAAGCCCCGGUGAACGGCGGCCGUAACUAUAACGGUCCUAAGGUAGCGAAAUUCCUUGUCGGGUAAGUUCCGACC
rnacentral:rRNA from 1 species